rnacentral:lncRNA from 1 species
CAAGUACGUAUAUACUUUAUUACAUAGUACAAAACACCAUCUUAAAUGCAAGUUGUAAAAAUUCAGUAACAGGAACUAAGAAAACAUGAAAAAUUAUUCUAAGUUUUUGCCUUGUAAACCAAGGGAGUGAAUCCACCCUCCAGGCCAGUGAUCAAAUCUGCACCUCUGCAGCAAUGCUAGUUCUCUGAGGUCACUGCCACAAGGCCCUGGAUUAAGUCAUCUAUAGUCUGUAAUGCUGGUUUAUCUGGGCAGCAACAAUAAAGAUAUUGACUGAUUAGAGCAUCUUACUAGAGACUGGUAAGGAAACUGGGGCAGCAAAGAUCCAAGUUCCUAAAUAAACUCUUGUUGACUCAAUAUUCUUAUGAGGAGGAACAUGAUUUAACUAGCUCCUUAACUAAAAUGCUAAUGUUAACACAAAAACAUCUGAAAUACUUUUCCUUGCAUUAUUUUCUUUAAACGUUUAAAGUGAAACCAUUUUCAUCUAUUCUGUAUAACAAUACAUAACACUGAUCUCUUAUGAUGCAGCAGGUUAAGGAUCCGGAGUUGUCCUUGUAGUGGCUUGGUUUUGAUCCUGGCCCAGGAACUUCCACCUGCCAUGGCAGUAAGAAAAAAAACAAAGAGUAACAUUGAGCUCUAGCUCCCUGUUGACAGUGUAACUCCCAGCCUGCAGGUAACCUACUUGUUACUCAAAUGAGCUCAGCUUGAAAUAAGAGAAAUGCUCCCAUGUUUAGCUGCUCAUUCGGAGCUAACGAUUUGCUAGGAUCCUCCCAAUAAACUAGCCCCAUGCUCUCUACUUUGUCACACUCGACUCUAAAGGUUUCACUCUGCUUAAAUCAUUGUACCUAUAGAGCUGAUGAAAAAUGAGGAAGCUCAGCUCAUUUUUGUUCCUCCAAGACCAAUGAAAAAAAUUGUAGGACUGCCCUGAAUAUCCACCCAAGUGGUGGUUCCAGUGAAACUCUGUUUUGGUUUGGCCUCUCUCUACAGGAUCAUCAACCACAACAGCUAGGAUUUUUUUCCCUCCGGAGCAAGCUUUCUUUCAGAAUGAGUCUUGACUGUCUAAAUUUAGCUUUUCAGCUAUUUUUUUACAGUUAAAUUGGCUAUCUGAGCAAACCAAAUUCCUGACCCCCUCCACAUUGUCAUAUGUCCUGUGGGUGACUAGAAAGCCACUUCUUGCAUCAUUGUGGGGGUCAGCUCUGCCNAAAUUUUUUUUUUUUUUUUUUUUUUUUUUUUUUUGCUUCUUAGGGCCACACUCCAGGCACAUGGAAGUCCCCAGGAUCCCUAGGCUAGAGGUCAAAUCAGAGCUGGAGCUGCAGCUGCCAGCCUAUGCUUCAGCAUCUAGGGAUCUGAGCCCUGUCUUGAGACUUACACACCACAGCUUACAGCAAACGCCGGAUCCUUAACCCACUAAGCGAGGUUUUCCAGUGAUUGGUUGUGAUCUUAGAUUGUAUCUGUUGAGCUCUUUGCUUUUCGUUUUUAUGGUAGAGAAACAUGCAUUACAUAAAUCUUUUAGCCAUUAUGAGUGUACAAUUCAGUGGUGUUAAUUACACGCACAAAGUUGUGCAACUAUUAUUUCCAGAAUAUUUCCAUCAUCUCAAACAAAUUCUGUACCUAUUAUAUAGUACCUCCCCAUUCUCUCCUCUCCCUAGCCCCUGGUAAUCCCUAAGAGUCUCUGAAUUUAACUACACUACCUCCUAAGAGUGGAAUCAUGUCGUUGUACCUGGCUUAUUUCACUUACGUUUUCAAGGCUCACCCAUGUUGUAGCAGUCAUUAUUCAUUCCUUUUUAAGGCUGAAUAAUCCAGUGUGUGUGUGUGUGUGUGUGUGUGUGUGUGUGUGUGUGUGUGUGUGUAUAAAUGCAAUGUUAUGCAUAUAUAUAUAUAAAAAACAUACAUAUACAAAAUGUGGCAUAUAUAUAUAUGUCAUCUCUAGAUGGACAUUUGGGUUGUCACCUUUUGGCUGUUGGGAAUAUUGUUGCUAUGAACAUGGGUGUACAAGUAUCUGUUUGAGUCCCUGCUUUCAAUUCUUUUGGGUAUCUAUACCCAAGAAGCAAAAUUGCUGGAUCAUCCGGUAACUCUGUAAUUUUUGGAGGAGCAGUCAGACUGUUCUCCACAGCAAUGAUACCAUUUUACAUUCCCACCAGGGAUGCACCAGGUUCCAAUUUCUCCACACCCUGCCAACACUUUUUAUUUUCUAACAUCUUUCACAAUGGCCUGUGAUGAUUCAGUCCCCUACAAGGUAUUUUCUUCCCAAAUCUCCUCUGCCUCCCCUCUCCUCCCCCUCUUCUUGAUGUGCUUUUGCUUCAGUGAAAAUAGACUCAGGCUCAAGACUUUUCCUUUGUAUUAAGUACUUAAGGUAACUUUGUGGUUUGCCAAGUGCAAGAAUUCAGUGCAUACUUACAUGUUCCUUUACUGGAGGAAUCUGCAUUACCUUUUUAGGCGGCGAAUAGGGCUGCUUUCUGCAUUAAGAAACGAACUUCACAAUGUAGAUGUGACCCUGAUCUCAGAGAGACAUCAGUGAACCAAGGCUUGAAGCGAGCUCUUAAGUCUCUGCUCAGGAAUUGAACCUGGGCAGCCUGGGUGAAAACCAGGAAUCUUAGCCACUAGAUCAGCUAGCUAGAGGCUAGAAGCAGAAUUGCCUGGAUUCUUGCCCCCCUGUUGAAAGCAAGAAUGUAAAAGCAGAUACAAAGUUUAUUUUUAGAAACUCAAUACAACACGUGGGAGAGCGCACAGAGAAGUAGUCUAUUUAUCUAAGGCCAAAGUAAAGCAGUCAUACACACCGAAAGGUGUGUGGUGCGGGCAUCCCCCUGAAUAAGGAGCGUGCCAGAGGGGUGAUUUAAAUCACAUAUAUGGGACAGUUCUUCCAAGUCUUUGUUUUCCUUUGGCCAAUUAUCUUGUUUUAUUUUUCACACCUGACAAGACCCAGGGCCCUACCUGAUCUGCGGGUGGAUCUUUUGGCCAAGAUGGGUAUCAGAACAAGGGCUUAUGGGAAGGUUAGCUAGACUUACUACGGCCUGGUGCUGCACAUCCCCCCCGCCCCCUUCUAACCCAGAGGGGUCUUUCUGCUUAUGUACAGUUUGGGUCUUCCUGAACCCAGAAUGGUAAGUAUGUGUCAUCACCACUGUUUAACAAGUUCACAUAAGAUAAGUGAACUAAUUAUUUGCUUUUUGCUUGUUGCUAUUUCUAUCAUGGAAGUAUAAGUAGGUGGCUGGAUGUAAAUGUUUAUCUGAGAGCUCACCUAUGUCCCGCCUCAGGAAGUAUAAAUAGGAGGCUGGUUGUUAAGGUCUGUCCCAGAGCCCAUCUAUCUCCUGCCUCAAUCCUGCCCUCCCUUAAACUAUCUGUACAUCAGCUUAAUAAGGGCGAGCUCGAAACAGGCUGGGAUAAGAACCCACCAUUUAAGCAAGGCUUGCCCACAAUUUCUAAUUCAAAUGUCCCAAGGUUUCAAACCGUUCAACACAGAUGGAGGAGCGUCAGGGCCUACCAGGUGGCGCUUUACUACCUUGGGUUCCUUCUGCCAAGCGGCAGCAGAGCCACACUCCCGGUGAACCUCCGCUCCACGAGGAGAAAACUGGGAACGCCAGGUAAAGCCCGAAUUCUGUCAGCUGAGACCCCACUGCCCCAGCCGCGCCUCACCUGGGCCUCCGCGUUCAGACAGGCAGCUCCCAGCCUGCGGCGUCAAACGCCCUGGCCACGCUCGCUGCCCCUCGACGAUCCUCCACUCACCGUUCCGCAGGGGAUGGAAACCACAAGCUGCUAGAGAGGCGCAAACAGCCUGGGGCAGC